AGCUACUCAUUGAAGAAAUGCAAUGUAAGGGAAAAAAUGGGUAGAGUGAGAGAAGCUUGGGAGAAAACGGAAAUACUACGGUGAAAACAAAGUGAGUUGUCCUAUGGGUCAGGUACUGUGUUCAUCACUGGAAAAUGGGAAGCCAAUGACUGGAGUAAUGUGAGCAGAUUUUUGAGUAAGGAUGAAUGUUCUGGAAACGAGACUGGAAAUAUUCACGGAAACCAAUGCACUCCACAUCUGCUGCACUUCACUCUUUCCAACACCAGGCUAUGCUGCUUGCUUUAUUUGAGGCAGCAUCAGAAGGACCCAUUUAAACUACCAGUGCUGCAGAAUUUCAUCCUCCCGCUGAUGUCAGUGAGCAUUAAUGGACUGGCAGGCUCUCCUACGUUUUCUUCUGUUCUGCACAAUUGUUGGUCCAUCUCUGAGAGUGGUAAGAGGAUGCCCAUGUGGAAAUCCAGCCAAUAUUCCAGAAAUAAAAAGCCUUAAAAAUCUGCAGAAAAUCAAAGUCCUCCGAGAGAACAAUCCUGCCAGCCAGUCCUCCUCUUUUCACCAAUGGUAACAACUUCCUGACUCCUGCUUCUUGCCCAUACAUAUUACUCUGGGCUCAAAUUUCUCACUACUGUUUUCUAACCCAUGCCAAGCCCAUUUAGUUCUUUCCUUUAUCUUUUCUCUCCAA